GCUGACGCCGACUAGACCGCGGCGGACGGCGGCGGACGGCGGCGAAAUUUUCGCUCAUACAGUUAUCCAUAUAGGUGUUCACACUAGACGGCGGCGGACCGCGGCGGACCGCGGCAAUUUUUCGCGAGUUCCAGGUUGGGAAUAUUUCGGCGGUGCGCCGCGCAUCGCCGCGCAUCGCCGUCGUCUAGUGUGAACACCCGACCGAUGCCGAAAUUCAUCCCAAGUAUAAAAAUAGGGAAACCUGCGUUACUUUGAUGUAAAUGGUUAUGGUUUACAAGGAUUCUUUUCAUUCUCUCCGCUGUUCUUGCGAAUAAUAAAUGCAUUCAUUUUUACAUCUCAAAUAAAUCCUACGGAUAUUAAAUAAAUUUUACAACCCGGUGUAGAGAUGU